GGACUGCCCUGGGUCCCAGGCCCUGGCUGUCCUGAGCAGAGGUGCUCAGGUAAGGUGGGGUCAGGAGGCACCGCAAUGGGGCUGAUCAGCAGCAGUCAUGGAGGCUGUGAGAGGCAGGGAGAGAGCACCCCAGGACCCCCUUCUCCAGGCCACGCACUCCCUAUGUGGGCGCCUUAAUACCUGCUAGACCUAUUUGUCUGGGAACUGCAGGAGCCUUGGAGUUGAUUGUGGGGCCCUGACAGGGGCGUUUCAGAGAAAGUCAGGAGCUGCCUUCGUGUGUCUGGAUGAAGGGGCCACGGCAGGAUCCUCCUGGCUCAGGGGUUCACACCUGGGCACACAUGCAGGAUUCUGCAGGCCAGUGUGCACCGAGCCUCCAACUUGCGCCUCCCUACUUCAGGUGACCAGAAGUCAGCAGCUUCCCAGAAGCCCCGAAGCCGGGGCAUCCUCCACUCACUCUUCUGCUGUGUCUGCCGGGAUGAUGGGGAGGCCCUGCCUGCUCACAGCGGGGCGCCCCUGCUUGUGGAGGAGAAUGGCGCCAUCCCUAAGACCCCAGUCCAAUACCUGCUCCCUGAGGCCAAGGCCCAGGACUCAGACAAGAUCUGCGUGGUCAUCGACCUGGACGAGACCCUGGUGCACAGCUCCUUCAAGCCAGUGAACAACGCGGACUUCAUCAUCCCUGUGGAGAUUGAUGGGGUGGUCCACCAGGUCUACGUGUUGAAGCGGCCUCACGUGGAUGAGUUCCUGCAGCGAAUGGGCGAGCUCUUUGAAUGUGUGCUGUUCACUGCUAGCCUCGCCAAGUACGCAGACCCAGUAGCUGACCUGCUGGACAAAUGGGGGGCCUUCCGGGCCCGGCUGUUUCGAGAGUCCUGCGUCUUCCACCGGGGGAACUACGUGAAGGACCUGAGCCGGUUGGGUCGAGACCUGCGGCGGGUGCUCAUCCUGGACAACUCACCUGCCUCCUAUGUCUUCCAUCCAGACAAUGCU
rnacentral:sRNA from 1 species